rnacentral:snRNA from 1 species
GUGCUCUCUUCGGCAUCACAUAUACUAAAAUUGGAAAGAUACAGAGAUUAGCAUGGCCCCUGCGCAAGGCUGACAUGCAAAUUCCUGAAGCGUUUCAUAUUUAA